rnacentral:other from 1 species
UAAUCCCUGCCUGGUUCGCGGACCUGUGCUCAAAAUAACCCUACAAUUAUAAAUCGGGAGCUUGACUCCGGCGGGCGGAAUGCAGACCUCCCGGCUUUUGCCGGACGAUGGGAGUAUGAAACCGUUGGGUGGGCACCCACCUGUCUUUCGUAGGCAGGUUAUUUUUGCACUUUACGGCCAGGCGGGCUUUUG